UAGUGAGCGACUAUAAUAGUGGUGCAACCCUCCACAUGGCUGCGCUACUGUCGACCUAAUAACGGGGGUGCCUCGCAGGCGUAAGGGGGAUGAUUCAGGCAGUAGCAUGCCGUCUCUCGUAGCGUGAAUAUCGGGCGAGCUCUCGUCGCGGAGGAAUCGUGGCGGAAGAACGCGGCACACAUUGCCUACCUGACUUUUCAACCCCAUUGUACCCGUGAUCGGAGAUCGAGAGCAGAGUGGUGUUCUAUCUACCGCCAGGACAUUUCAGAGAAACGAAACGACACGUCGUUGAUAAUUAGCAGUAGAGCUGCAAGCCAGGUGGCAUUAAGGUCGCACAACCACGGCAGUGACAAUGCUAGGCUCAUUGUCGGAACAACGGCAGUGAAAGAUGGUGGACAAGGAAGAGUUGAGAAUAACGAAGGCUAAGGCCCCACCACCACCGCUAAAUCUCAGCGAGGCGAUCGAGGAUGAAGUGCUGAACCAAAAGACUGCUAGAAUUCUUAAGAAUGAUCUUCUUCUACACGAGGCUGUGAUAAAGAACGAAGCGGACACCGUUCGCAAAGUGCUUAAGGAGACUGUCGACGUAGAUUCCAGAAAUAAUUAUGGUCGUGCUCCGAUUCAUUGGGCAGCGUCUAGAGGAAACACAGAAAUCAUUGAAAUGUUGAUACAAGCUAAAUGCGACAUCGAAGCGAGAGAUAAGUAUGGAAUGCGACCCUUACAUAUGGCCGCCCAACACGGACACCGAGACGCAGUGAAGAUGCUGAUAAAUGCUGGAGCAAACGUGUCCGCGAUUAACAAGAAACAGCACACUCUCCUAAUGUGCGGCGCCCGCGGCAGCAACGUAGCCGUGGUGGAAUACCUCGCGGAAGCAGUGGAAUCGCUAAACGGCGAGGCCAUCGACUGCACCGGGGCGACUGCCCUUCAUCACGCGGCCAUCACCGGGCAUCCCGCGGUAAUCACAGCGCUGGCGAACAUCCCGCGGAUUGUGCUGGACGCCACGGACAAGAAAGGACAAACGGCGAUACACUGUGCCUGCGCCGAGGAGCACUUGGAUGCGGUCGAGAUCCUCAUAGGAUUAGGGGCGAACGUAGACGCCCAGGAUAACGAUGGCAAUACCCCGCUUCACGUGGCUACCAGAACGAGGCACACAGGGAUCGCGCAAUUAUUAUUAAAGGCCGGGGCGAACACCGAGCUAAUCGACGCGGAGGGCUUCACUCCCCUUCACGUCGCCGCAAGCCAGGGAUGUAAAGGAAUACUCGACUCCAUGAUUCAGCACGGGGCCGAUCUUAACAAGCAGUGUAAGAACGGCAACACACCUCUGCACCUGGCCUGCCAAAACAACGAAGUAGAAACGGUAGAGAUAUUAAUUAGCAAAGGCGUCGAUCUCAAUUGUUUGAAUUCGAGACUGCAAUCGUCCAUACAUAUCGCGGCCGAGAUGGGGCACACGGACAUUUGCGAAUUACUUCUUGCGGCAGGCGCGAAUAUCGAGCAAAAAGAACAGAGCGGCCGAACGCCACUUUACAUCGCGGCGAGGGGCAGUUUCACGGCCAUCGUCGACAUGAUCAUUAAGACCGCCCGAUUGGAUUAUCCGACCCCGGAAAUCUCAAAUUCCGACAAGGAGGUCCGGGAGCUGACUCCGGCGCGAAGAUGGUGGAGGGAGGGAUCGCGCGGUGGCAGCAUCUCUAGCAACAACGGCCGCCUCACGGAGCAAGUUCGAUCCGUUUUAUGGAAAUUGGCCUACAAGCAACUGGCGCCUGGAGAUUGGAAAAAGUUAGCCUUUCACUGGGCCUUCACCCCCGAACAAAUCAGAGCUAUCGAGCAUCAAUACACGGUGCAUCUAGAGCAGCCUUGUGAAAAGGACGAUAAAGCCUCAAUUGUAGGUCCCUCGAGUUACAAGGAGCACGGAUUUCGGAUGUUAAUGAUCUGGGCCUCCGGAUUGAAUCCAGACAUACCGUUGAUAAAGGAGCUCUGCGAAGCUUUAUCAGCGGUGGACAAGAAAGCAGUUGCUGAUUCCAUUCGCAAGCAGAUGGAGCAGGGAGACGACGGUAAGGCGAAAUCGAAGGGGCAGCGAUGUCACAAGUGCUCCAUCGCGUGAAUAUCUGCAAGUGCCAAGCUCACCACGUUAAUUCUACGCAUACACAUACACACUUGCUUGCAUUGUAACGAGGAGAGUUCAACGAACUUGGCGAACGCCGUUAACGAAGAAUUUACGAGGAGGAGAAGGGAUAAAGUAUAUACGAUGUUGUAUAAAUGCCUUUUGUACCGAUGAUAUAUGUAAUGUUAACGAUACGUGCAAAUUCUUAGGCGAGUAACGAUUAUUAUUUAUGGCACAGGUGUAGCUGUCACUAUCAUUUCGAAAGAACAAGCAUUUCUUUAUCUGGCAUGUAUUAUAAUUCGACGAGAAUUUAUAUUAAUCCACGCAAUAUUUUUUAGCCAAUAUUCAAGGUUUGAAACUCGAUGUAGAACUCGUCGUGAAUAAAAUUAAUCUGUCGGUGUUGUUAUAUAAAAAGCCACGCCAUUUAAAAUUCACAAUGAAUUAUUAAUAAACUUUUGGACCAGGCAGAUUACAUAAUCCUAUCGUAUUCCAGAAAAGUUGAUUGAUGAUUACAAGUAGGUACAUACAAUAGCUUUACUCACUUUCAGAAUAAAAACGUCUAUAGACUCGUUAUCUCAUCGCUGGACUAAAUAAUAUCAUUUGCAUGACGCGACAACAGUGAAAAAGACAUAUGAAUUAUAUAUACAAAUGAUAUGUGCAAAAAGAGGAAAUACCUAAAGUGGAGUAUUUGAACAAUUAUACGAAACUAAACCGUCCUAAGCUAAUCUUAAUUCAGGUGGACUAUCAUAAUUCCGUUUUACCUUUGCGAUUCUUUUAUAGAGAAGCGCCUCUGUAAUUCGUAGAAAAACAAAAGUACAGUUAGUACGCAGAAGCCAUCGAAAAAAGCGGUACAAUUGUAAAAUCAAAGUAACAAUCGAAUGUAGAGACUCUUCGGAAUAAUAUUAAUAAUGCAUAGAGUAAGUGUGAGAGUAAAUUUUGCAGGGCUUUCGAUGUGAUAACAGUUUAUUAGAUUAGACCUCGAAUAAAGAAUGUAAUGUAAAAUCCAUAGCGAUUAUCGCACGGUUCUCGAGAGAGACAAUCUACAUAUCUGAAACUUACAAAUUUAGAUGUAACUACGAACGAUAACAUUAUACGUAACUUCAUCUUGUAUCUCGCAAAAUUAUAUAUAAAUUUAAAAAUUAUGAAAUGUUUUGAUUACACGAAAUCAAAUACAUAAUAAUAAACUUGUAAGCGAGGGGCAAAUCAUUUCUUCUCUAUCGUAUUUAGCUUACAUAAUUUUAUAACGUUGAUGGACUACAUAAUUAAAAGAAUAUCGAAAAUAAUUAAGUGCGAAAAA